AGCAGCCGCGGUAAUUCCAGCUCCAAUAGCGUAUAUUAAAGUUGUUGCAAUUAAAAAGCUCGUAGUUGAAUUUCGGGGCCAGUAGGUCGGUCGUGCCACUGGUAUGUACUGACCUCACUGGUCCCUCCUUCUUGUAGAACCGUGAUGCCAUUAAUUUGGUGUUGCGGGGAAACAGGACUGUUACUUUGAAAAAAUUAGAGUGCUUAAAGCAGGCUUACGCUUGAAUACAUUAGCAUGGAAUAACGGAAUAGGACGCUCGAUUCUAUUUUGUUGGUUUCUAGGAUUGACGUAAUGAUUAAUAGGGAUAGUUGGGGGCAUUAGCAUUCAAUUGUCAGAGGUGAAAUUCUUGGAUUUAUUGAAGACUAACUACUGCGAAAGCAUUUGCCAAGGAUGUUUUCAUUAAUCAAGAACGAAAGUUAGGGGAUCGAAGACGAUCAGAUACCGUCGUAG
rnacentral:rRNA from 1 species